rnacentral:tRNA from 1 species
GAGGGGAUAGCUCAGUGGUAGAGUGCUCGCCCAACUUGUACAAGGUCCUGGGUUCAAUCCCCAGUCCCUCCA